UACAGAGGGUGCGAGCGUUGUUCGGAAUUAUUGGGCGUAAAGGGCGCGUAGGCGGUGCGGUAAGUCACCUGUGAAAUCUCCUGGCUCAACUGGGAGCUUGCAGGCGAAACUGCCGUGCUGGAGUGUGGGAGAGGUGCGUGGAAUUCCCGGUGUAGCGGUGAAAUGCGCAGAUAUCGGGAGGAACACCAAUUGCGAAGGCAGCUCGCUGGGACGUCACUGAGCGCUGAGACGCGAAAGCGUGGG
rnacentral:rRNA from 1 species